rnacentral:rRNA from 1 species
AGUGAACGCUGGCGGUAGGCCUAACACAUGCAAGUCGAACGGCAGCACAGUAAGAGCUUGCUCUUACGGGUGGCGAGUGGCGGACGGGUGAGGAAUACAUCGGAAUCUACUUUUUCGUGGGGGAUAACGUAGGGAAACUUACGCUAAUACCGCAUACGACCUACGGGUGAAAGCAGGGAAUCUUCGGACCUUGCGCGAGUGAAUGAGCCGAUGUCGGAUUAGCUAGUUGGCGGGGUAAAGGCCCACCAAGGCGACGAUCCGUAGCUGGUCUGAGAGGAUGAUCAGCCACACUGGAACUGAGACACGGUCCAGACUCCUACGGGAGGCAGCAGUGGGGAAUAUUGGACAAUGGGCGCAAGCCUGAUCCAGCCAUACCGCGUGGGUGAAGAAGGCCUUCGGGUUGUAAAGCCCUGUUGUUGGGAAAGAAAAGCAGCAGGUUAAUACCGCGCUGUUCUGACGGUACCCAAAGAAUAAGCACCGGCUAACUUAGUG